UACGAAGGGGGCUAGCGUUGUUCGGAAUUACUGGGCGUAAAGCGUGCGCAGGCGGCUUCUCAAGUCAGGGGUGAAAGCCCAGAGCUCAACUCUGGAAUUGCCUUUGAGACUGAGUGGCUUGAGUACGAGAGAGGUGAGUGGAAUUCCCAGUGUAGAGGUGAAAUUCGUAGAUAUUGGGAAGAACACCGGUGGCGAAGGCGGCUCACUGGACCGGCAUUGACGCUGAGGUG
rnacentral:rRNA from 1 species